rnacentral:rRNA from 1 species
GAUGAGCGCUGGCGGCGUGCCUAAUACAUGCAAGUCGAGCGAACGGACGAGAAGCUUGCUUCUCUGAUGUUAGCGGCGGACGGGUGAGUAACACGUGGAUAACCUACCUAUAAGACUGGGAUAACUUCGGGAAACCGGAGCUAAUACCGGAUAAUAUUUUGAACCGCAUGGUUCAAAAGUGAAAGACGGUCUUGCUGUCACUUAUAGAUGGAUCCGCGCUGCAUUAGCUAGUUGGUAAGGUAACGGCUUACCAAGGCAACGAUGCAUAGCCGACCUGAGAGGGUGAUCGGCCACACUGGAACUGAGACACGGUCCAGACUCCUACGGGAGGCAGCAGUAGGGAAUCUUCCGCAAUGGGCGAAAGCCUGACGGAGCAACGCCGCGUGAGUGAUGAAGGUCUUCGGAUCGUAAAACUCUGUUAUUAGGGAAGAACAUAUGUGUAAGUAACUGUGCACAACUUGACGGUACCUAAUCAGAAAGCCACGGCUAACUACGUG